CAACCUCAGUCCGCGAUUCUCUCAAAAGGCGCCGUGUUACAAAAUGCCGUCGGGUUCACACUUGGUUCACACUUUCGGAGCACACGGGGCUCGGAAAGGCCCGUUCAUGGAUUGGCUUCAUCGGCGCUCCAGUAGGUACUUUGCGGCUCUAUUGUACUCUAGGGCAACGGGACCUAACCAAACCUGGACACAACAGGCGAGAGUCACAACCAGAAUGACACAACGGCAGCUUACGCAAGUGUCCGUUCUAUAGGCGUUAGCUUUAUUAUUCUAUGAUCAAGGUACACUUGAAAUGCGACCACCAUUCUUUCAUAGCCAUUAUUACCAUUCUUUAUCCGCCUUGUCGAUCGUCUGCGGUCCGCGAAGUUUUUUACAAAUGUAAGUUCAGUAAUUUAAAUCCUCCUCACUCAAAUAUAUAUUUUUAAUUAUGUCGUCCUAUCAACUCACCAAUUCAUCCAUGACCAAAUCACACCUUCCAGAUCUUAUUGAACUAGCAGAGCUAGCUGGAUUUCUCAUACCGCAUGACAUCUUGAGGAUACUGAUCGAACUGCUAGAAUUUGGGCUUCACCCGUAUGCUGUUAAAAGUUUACUGCGAGAAAUCUACAGGAGCAGAAUAGCGCCCAAGAGACAACCUGUCAAAGUAUAACUACACUUGGACAUAGGAUUCAAAACUUCACUGAAAAAUGCAUCUCAUCACAGUGUGACGCUAACUGGUACACCAAAAGAAGAUGGAAACUUGGAAAUCAAUGGCUACUCAACGCAUACACUUGGGGUCAAAUCCAACUGCCGCCUUCGAAACAUCCCCAAUAUUCCCCAAAAUAAUUUUA
rnacentral:lncRNA from 1 species